UUUUGUAUUGUUUUGUUUUACCAUGUAAAACGAAAUUGAGCAUUGUUUGGAUUUUUUUUUCUAUUGGUAAUUUCACUUAAUUGGCGCAAACGCGGUAACGAUGCAGUGGACUGUUGCUAGCUAGCUAGCUAACGUUAGCUGGGAUGAGAAGAGACUUAUGUGUGUGGGAAACACAUGUUACACCCGUUUCUGAAUAUUUUGCUUCGGAUGCUGCUGUACACUGCUGCAGAGAGAUGCCACUUCUCAUAGGAGCCUAUGUGCCACACGUACUGUACGUUGACAGAGUGUUUCUCCAUUGCACCAUAUUGGACAUGGCUGGAAAGAGGGGUUGCAAAACUGUUUGCCAACAGACGUCUGAGUUCCCAAGGACCAGUGAGUACUGACCUAACACUUUUCAUCUGGAUUCAAUUAAGCUCCAACAUGCAUGUCAGAAUGGGAGCCUAACAUAGACUAGAGUUGCCAUAAAGUCCUGGGUAUUCAAGACUCUAUUUUUGUUUUCAUUUUAUUAUCAUAAGGUGACAUGCCCUGCCGUGUCUGUUACUACAUUUACAUCUUGGUGUUUUGUAUUUCCUCAUGUUCCUCAUGUUGCUCAUACUGUGACAUGUUAAAGUAAACACGCCCACUUUAUGAUAAUCACAUGCAGUUGUGGGGUAAGUCAUAAGUCAAGUCAGCACACUGACACACUGACAACUGUUGUUGCCUGUUGGGCUUGUGUGUAUGAUUUCACUCCCAAGUGCUGUAAAGAUAAAAGGAAAAUAAGGAUUAGUUAAUGUUGCAUUUGUAGAUCAGAGACUAAUAACCAGAUGUGGUAAUCUCACCGUGAAGUCCAAGACAUGCCAGGAGAUGAAAAAGCAGAAACCUGUGCAGUGCAUGCAUUAUUCUGGCAGCAAAGUCAACCUGUUGUCUUUGAGGUGUCAAGUCGACCCUUUUAUACCGCAGUAUGCUCAGUGAGCGACCCUGUGGUUUUCAUCUUCUUCACCAAGACUUCUUUAGCUGCUUCCUCUGUGUGUUUGCAAGCUUUUAUUGUCUUAUAGUGAUGAGUGCAUGCGGUCAGUAAAGAAAUGAGUAUUGCCAUUGUCACAGUAAAUGUAAAGCAUGUGGUUCAGCAGCCUCAGCAGCCUGAAGCACGUACAAACAUUAUGUGAUCAGCAUGGGAUGAGUUUUCACACAGUUUGUAACGUUAACCCAUUUAUUCUCUUUAUAUAUUUGAUGUCAUUCAAUAUCUUCAGUUUUCUUUUUGUAUCUAUGGCACUUUAAGUAUCUGACAACCUCUGUAUUUUUAUUAUUUGGGAAUUCUUUGACCUUCUCUCUCUGUUUGAAUAAGUCUCUCUUCAAAGUACAUAUUGAACAGACAAGAAAUGUGCGAUUAAAUAUUUUAAUCGA